GAUGAACGCUGGCGGCGUGCCUAAUACAUGCAAGUCGAGCGAACGGACGAGAAGCUUGCUUCUCUGAUGUUAGCGGCGGACGGGUGAGUAACACGUGGAUAACCUACCUAUAAGACUGGGAUAACUUCGGGAAACCGGAGCUAAUACCGGAUGAUAUUUUGAACCGCAUGGUUCAAAAGUGAAAGACGGUCUUGCUGUCACUUAUAGAUGGAUCCGCGCUGCAUUAGCUAGUUGGUAAGGUAACGGCUUACCAAGGCAACGAUGCAUAGCCGACCUGAGAGGGUGAUAGGCCACACUGGAACUGAGACACGGUCCAGACUCCUACGGGAGGCAGCAGUAGGGAAUCUUCCGCAAUGGGCGAAAGCCUGACGGAGCAACGCCGCGUGAGUGAUGAAGGUCUUCGGAUCGUAAAACUCUGUUAUUAGGGAAGAACAUAUGUGUAAGUAACUGUGCACAUCUUGACGGUACCUAAUCAGAAAGCCACGACUAACUACGUG
rnacentral:rRNA from 1 species